rnacentral:rRNA from 1 species
GACAGAGGGGGCAAGCGUUGCUCGGAAUUACUGGGCGUAAAGGGCUCGUAGGCGGCCAACUAAGUCAGACGUGAAAUCCCUCAGCUUAACUGGGGAACUGCGUCUGAUACUGGAUGGCUUGGAUCCGGGAGAGGGAUGCGGAAUUCCAGGUGUAGCGGCGAAAUGCGUAGAUAUCUGGAGGAACACCGGUGGCGAAGGCGACCAACUGGACGGAAACUGACGCUGAGGUGCGAAAGCGUGGGGAGCAAACAGG